UAAAGUGGCACGCGAGCUGGGUUCAGAACGUCGUGAGACAGUUCGGUCCCUAUCCGUUGUGGGCGUUGGAAAAUUGAGAAGAUCUGUCCUUAGUACGAGAGGACCGGGAUGGACUUACCUCUGGUGUAUCUGUUGUAGCGCCAGCUGCAGUGCAGAGUAGCUAUGUAGGGAAUGGAUAACCGCUGAAAGCAUCUAAGUGGGAAGCCAACUUCAAGAUGAAUUUUCCUGUUUUUUAAAAACUAAGAUCCCAGAAAGACUAUCUGGUUGAUAGGCUAGACGUGGAAGCAUAGUGAUAUGUUGAGCUGACUAGUACUAAUAGAUCGAGAGUUUAACCCUA
rnacentral:ncRNA from 1 species